UACGGAGGAUCCAAGCGUUAUCCGGAAUCAUUGGGUUUAAAGGGUCCGUAGGCGGACUUCUAAGUCAGCGGUGAAAGUCUGCAGCUUAACUGUAGAAUUGCCGUUGAUACUGGAGGUCUUGAAUUACUGUGAAGUGGUUAGAAUAUGUAGUGUAGCGGUGAAAUGCUUAGAUAUUACAUGGAAUACCAAUUGCGAAGGCAGAUCACUAACAGUAUAUUGACGCUGAGGGACGAAAGCGUGGGUAGCGAACAGGAUUAGAUACCCCCGUA
rnacentral:rRNA from 1 species